rnacentral:rRNA from 1 species
GACGAACCGAGCGAACGUUGUUCGGAAUCACUGGGCUUAAAGGGCGCGUAGGCGGGCUGCCAAGUCUGGGGUGAAAUCCUCCGGCUCAACCGGGGAAGGGCCUUGGAUACUGGCGGUCUGGAGGGAGGUAGGGGCGUGCGGAACUGUAGGUGGAGCGGUGAAAUGCGUAGAUAUCGUCUGGAACGCCAAAGGUGAAAACAGACUGCUGGGAGUGUGCUGACGCUGAGACACGAAAGCCAGGGGAGCAAACGGG